AUCUACCCUUGGCCAGGGUGAACUUCGGGUAACACCGAAGGGAGGCCCGAACCGGUGUCGGUUGAAAACGGCUCGGAUGAGCUGAGGGUUGGAGUGAAAGGCUAAUCAAACUCAGUGAUAGCUCGUUCUCUCCGAAAUAGCUUUAGGGCUAGCCUUGCAUGAUUGGUAAGGGAGGUAGAGCACUGGAUGGCCUAGGGGCUCGAAAGAGUUUCCGAAUCCAACCAAACUCCGAAUUCCCUUAACCUCAGUGCGGGAGUUAGACUGCUAGGGCUAAGCUUGGUAGUCAAAAGGGAAAGAGCCCAGAUCGUCAGCUAAGGUCCCUAAAUGCAAGCUAAGUGGGCAAGGAUGUGAAGAGGCCGAGACAGCCAGGAGGUUGGCUUAGAAGCAGCCAUCCUUUAAAGAAAGCGUAACAGCUCACUGGUCAAGUGUUUUCGCGCCGACAAUGUAACGGGGCUAAGCUUGCUACCGAAGCUACGAUUUGUCAAAGCUUUCGGGCUUUGACGAAGGUAGGAGAGCAUUCUAAUUUGAGUGAAGCCUUGAUGUGAGUCAGGGUGGACGGAUUGGAAGAGACUCUGCCGGCAUAAGUAGCGAUAAUUCCGGUAAAAACCCGGAACGCCGAAAAUCUAAGGUUUCCUGAGGAAGGCCAGUCCGCUCAGGGUUAGUCGGUCCCUAAGCCGAGGUCGAAAGACGUAGGCGAUGGACAGCAGGUCAACAUUCCUGCACCACCUGAAAAGCGUUUGUACGAUGGGGGGACGCGGACGGAUAAGCAUACACACGGUUGGAAAUGUGUGGCCGCCAGGUAGAGGGAGUUUCCAGGCAAAUCCGGAAGCUCAUUAACCUCGAGCACGGCGGGGAAGAUUGCCUUCGGGCUUUCCAACUUGCUGAAUCCAUGCCGCCAAGAAAAGCCUCUAAGGAGUUUUUUAGGUGACCGUACCGUAAACCAACACAGGUAGAUGAGGAGAGAAUCCUAAGGCGCACGUGUGAACCCUCUUUGAGGAACUCGGCAAAUUGACCCCGUAACUUUGGAAGAAGGGGUGCCUCGUUAGUGUUGUAUCUCGAUUCGCUCGAGAGAAGCACGAGGAGGUCGCAGAGAAAUGGCCCAGGCGACUGUUUACUAAAAACACAGGUCUCUGCAAAGUCAACAAAACGACGUAUAGGGACUGACGCCUGCCCGGUGCCGGAAGGUUAAGGGGAAGGGUUAGCCCUCGGGCGAAGCUCCAAACUUAAGCCCCGGUAAACGGCGGCCGUAACUAUAACGGUCCUAAGGUAGCGAAAUUCCUUGUCGGGUAAGUUCCGACCCGCACGAAUGGCGUAACGACUUGGGCGCUGUCUUGAAGAGGAGCACGGCGAAAUUGUAGUACCGGUGAAGAUGCCGGUUACCUGCCGCUGGACGGAAAGACCCCGGCACCUUAACUGCAGCUUAUCAUUGGAUUUUGGGUUAUUAUGUGCAGGAUAGGUGGGAGACUUUGAAGUCCUGACGUCAGUUAGGAUGGAGUCAAUGGUGAGAUACCACUCUUGAUAUUCUGAGGUUCUAACCUACAACGGUAAUCCCGUUGAGGAACAGUGUUAAGUGGGUAGUUUGACUGGGGCGGUCGCCUCCUAAAGUGUAACGGAGGCGUCCUAAGGUUCCCUCAGACUGUUUGGAAAUCAGUCGUAGAGUAUAAAGGCAUAAGGGAGCUUGACUGUGAGACCGACAAGUCGAACAGGUAGGAAACUAGGGCUUAGUGAUCCGGCGGUCCCGUAUGGAAGGGCCGUCGCUCAACGGAUAAAAGGUACGCCGGGGAUAACAGGCUAAUAGGGCCCAAGAGCUCAUAUCGACGGCCCUGUUUGGCACCUCGAUGUCGGCUCAUCGCAUCCUGGGGCUGAAGCCGGUCCCAAGGGUUGGGCUGUUCGCCCAUUAAAGCGGUACGUGAGCUGGGUUUAGAACGUCGCGAGACAGUUCGGUCCCUAUCCGCGGUAGGCGCAGGAAAUUUGAAGGGAUCCGUUCCUAGUACGAAAGGACCGGAACGGACGAACAUAUGGUGUACCAGUUGUCCCGCCAGGGGCAGCGCUGGGUAGCUACGUUCGGAAAAGAUAACCGCUGAAGGCAUAUAAGCGGGAAACUCACCCUGAGAUUAGAUUUCCCACCCUUAACAGGGCUAAAGGUCCCUUGUAGACUACGAGGUUGAUAGGCUGGGCGUGUAAGUCCGGUAACGGAUUGAGCUAACCAGUACUAAUAGACCGUGAGGCUUGACCAUA
rnacentral:rRNA from 1 species